rnacentral:rRNA from 1 species
GACGAACCGUCCAAACGUUAUUCGGAAUCACUGGGCUUACAGAGUUCGUAGGCGGUCUGGCAAGUUGGGUGUGAAAUCCCUCGGCUCAACCGAGGAACUGCGCUUGAAACUACCAGACUCGAGGGAGAUAGAGGAAAGCGGAACUGAUGGUGGAGCGGUGAAAUGCGUUGAUAUCAUCAGGAACACCGGUGGCGAAGGCGGCUUUCUGGGUCUUACCUGACGCUGAGGAACGAAAGCCAGGGGAGCGAACGGG